GACACGGUCCAGACACCUACGGGUGGCAGCAGUCGAGAAUUUUUCACAAUGGGCGAAAGCCUGAUGGAGCGACGCCGCGUGGGGGAUGAAUGGCUUCGGCCCGUAAACCCCUGUCAUUCGCGAGCAAACGUUAUUAUUUAAAAGAUGAUAGCCUGAUAGUAGCGAAAGAGGAAGGGACGGCUAACUCUGUGCCAGCAGCCGCGGUAAUACAGAGGUCCCAAGCGUUGUUCGGAUUUACUGGGCGUAAAGGGUGCGUAGGUGGUGGGGUAAGUCGGAUGUGAAAUCUCCGAGCUCAACUCGGAAAGUGCAUUGGAAACUACCCUGCUCGAGGGUUGGAGGGGGGACUGGAAUACUUGGUGUAGCAGUGAAAUGCGUAGAUAUCAAGUGGAACACCAGUGGCGAAGGCGAGUCCCUGGACAACUCCUGACACUGAGGCACGAAAGCUAGGGGAGCAAACAGGAUUAGAUACCCUGGUAGUCCUAGCUGUAAACGGUGCACGUUUGCUGUAAAAGGAAUCGACCCCUUUUGUGGCGUAGCUAACGCGUUAAACGUGCCGCCUGGGGAGUACGGUCGCAAGAUUAAAACUCAAAGAAAUUGACGGGGGCCUGCACAAGCGGUGGAGUAUGUGGCUCAAUUCGAUGCAACGCGAAGAACCUUACCUGGCCUUGACAUGUACGUAGUAGAAGGGUGAAAGCCUGACGAGAUAGCAAUAUCAGCGUACACAGGUGCUGCAUGGCUGUCGUCAGCUCGUGUCGUGAGAUGUUGGGUUAAGUCCCGCAACGAGCGCAACCCUUGUGUCCUGUUGCCACCCCGGCGAGAGUCGGGAGCACUCUGGACAGACUGCCUCGCUUAAACGAGGAGGAAGGUGGGGAUGACGUCAAGUCAGCAUGGCCCUUACGGCCAGGGCUGCACACGUACUACAAUGCCCGGUACAAAGGGAAGCGAGACCGUCAGGUGGAGCAAAUCCCCAAAAACCGGGCCCAGUUCAGAUUGUCGUCUGCAACUCGACGGCAUGAAGUUGGAAUCGCUAGUAAUGGCGCAUCAGCUACGGCGCCGUGAAUACGUUCCCAGGCCUUGUACACACCGCCCGUCACAUCAUGAAAGCCGGCUGUACCCGAAGUCACCGCGUUAACCGCAAGGAAGCAGGUGCCGAAGGUAUGGAUGGUGAUUGGGAUGAAGUCGUAACAAGGUAGCCGUAGGGGAACCUGCGGCUGGAUCACCUCCUUU
rnacentral:rRNA from 1 species